rnacentral:tRNA from 6 species
GCGCUCGUAGCUCAGUAUGGAUAGAGCAAAGGUUUCCUAAACCUUAGGUCGCAGGUUCGAGUCCUGCCGGGCGCACCA